UAUCAGAGACUACUCUGCUUAGGACAUAGCAGCUGGGAUUGGGUGCCUGUGCCUCUCAAACUGAUGUCCCCCGUGUUUUGCUUGGACACCAGAUUGAGAGGGAGCAUCUGCAGUACCUAACUGAGCCCUGCCCUCCUUGUUCUCUUAAUGUAGACAGAACCACAGUGCAUCAUCUGCUACUUCUGCUGCAGGAGUGGUAAUAUCUGGCAGAGCAAAGGUGUGGAAAGCUAAGGACUAGCAUGUUAAAGCUGCAAGAUUACGCAGGUGAUGUUGAUCAGACCCUUAAGAAUCAUAAAUGCAUCCACAGAGCUCCAUACUUUACCAGCCAGCUUUUGUGACUGCAUAGGUAGGUCAAGUUAGCUUAAUCUUUUCCUUCAGGAGGUUGAAAUGCUGGUUUCCCUCUUGAACACCAGCUUCAUUUCUGUGGGAAGGGAAUAUCUGUGCUAUCUUCUUAUGUAACAGUCUGAAAUGCCUACCAAGAGCCUCCUUGACAUUUUGUCAAAGAGCUAUUUUUGUGGAAAAUGACACUAGAAACAUCACUUAAAGAAGGGAUAAAUAAACACCAAGGAGGUGUCCAGGCAUCAUGUUCUCCAAAACUGUAGUAUUACUUAGUUUAGAAAUGUAUCAUAUUUUUAAUACUGCUUCAAUAUGAUCCUUAUUGCAUAUUUUGAUUGGACAGACCUCGGAAAUACGCAGCGUACCCUAAAGGGGUUUUGUGAAAUGAGCUUCCUGCUGUUAAUAAAGGUUAGAGGAAGGCACCCCUGAGGCAAUGUCACAGUCAAGCUCUUGGAUCUGGUUCCUCUGGUGUGAAUAAUCUGAAGACCAGCAUGUGUGGUGGCCCACUGAGUGUUUUUCCACUGGUGGGAAAGGGUCAGCUGGAGACCACAGUGAGCUGCGAGCUGUGCAGGCACUGAUUCAUUGCAACCCAAUCCAAAAAAACAACCUUGGACGUCAACUCAAGCAAGCUGUCCAAAGUCUGAAUGGAGCUCAGGCUCAUAAUGCUGCCACGUCUUGAAGUUUAAAAAGCAGAAGCUCCUCGCUGAACAAUUUUGUUCUUGAAUCACAGGAAGUUGCAAAAGCUGUCAAUGUGUCAGAGAAGAAGCUGGAUCAAGAACCUAACAGCUGGAUACAUCCUGGAGAAGGUCUUGUUUCACAAGGAGGUGAAGUGCUGCUGCAUGAAUCAGGCCUGACUGUUGCUGUAAGAAAGAUACUUACAGGGAUGCUUGCUGCAGUGUAACAGUGUCUGCUUUUCAACAAAAGAAGCUGAACAUUCAGCAAGCAAAUUUUACCAUACUUUUUGAAAGCCUUGAAGUAAAUCAAAGCCAGCGGGGUGCUUUUCAGCAAGCAUUGGCAGAGGUUCCAGCCCUUCCAGUGAAGACUCCUAACCCAGAGGAAACAAAGGCCUUUGGACUGCUGUGAUGCUGAAGGGAUCAACGGGACCUGUUUUUUCAGGCAUGAGCAGAAGAUUAUCUGGAAGAAAUCUGACCUACGAGGAUCUCACCUUGCCUUUGCUGUAGACUGGCAGGACUAGCCCUGAGCAUUCUCAUGGACAAGCUGAUGUGUGAGUCUGAGUGCUCUGAAGCAGACAAUGACGGUAAGUACAGUAACUGAGAGUACAGCAAGCUGGCAAGUAUAUGCAGUUUAGAUUGACACUGGGCUGAAAAUAGUGCCUUAUAUCUUCCUCAGGGUAAAUCGCUGUUGAACAUUAUAUCUAGAGUCUCUAAAGCCUGGGAGAAGCUUUGUGUAUGGGAUGGUAAAUUUGUUUUAGCAUUAAAUAUGCCCAUUGUUUA